AGGGUUUUCAACUCUGUUUGAUUUCCAUCUUGUCAAAGAAUCAACUUUUGGUUUUGGUGAAUGAAAUGGUUUGGCUGUUUCCCCACCCAGAUCUCACUUUGAAUUGUAAUAAUCCCCACAGGUCAAGGGCAGGACCAGGUGGAGACAAUUGAAUCCUGGGGCUGGUUUCCCCCAUGCUGUUCUUGUGACAAUGAGUUCUCAGGAGAUCUGAUGGUUUUCUAAGGGGCUCUCCCCUUUGCUCGACUCUCAUUCCCUCUCCUGCUGCUCUGUGAAGGGGCGCCUUCCUCCAUAACUGUAUUGCCAUCAGAGAGUCAGCAAAGGUAGUUGACCAAGCCCAAAGGAGAGUGUUGAGGGGAGUUGAUGACCUUGACUUUUUCAUAGGAGAUGAAGCCAUCGAUAAACCUACAUAUGCUACAAAGUGGCCGAUACGACAUGGAAUCAUUGAAGACUGGGAUCUUAUGGAAAGGUUCAUGGAGCAAGUGGUUUUUAAAUAUCUUCGAGCUGAACCUGAGGACCAUUAUUUUUUAAUGGCCAUCCAGGACAUGUGCAAGCCAGCGACACUACGGGCAGUUCUGGGAGCCAGUUUAUAUACCAACUCCUGAUGGUACGUCCAGCCUGCUGCCCAGGAAGGAAGCCAGUGCUGGCACCUGGAAGGCGCCUGGCGUGUAUGGGAGCACCAAGAGCAUGGGGAGGUGCACUGCAGCAGGCAGCACAGACCUACAGUCUGUUAUCACAGUCUCGCUCUCUGUAAUAAGCACGUUAAUAAGGUAAUAAGGAGGUUACAUUGCUGUUUGAAUUUGCUUUCCUUGACUAAGCAUCUCUUCAUGCUCAAAAGUCUUUUAUAUGUCUUCUUCUGUGAAUUCUUUUGUGUCAUUUGCUCAUUUAUCUACUUGUAUGGUUUUUGCCUUGAAGAAAAUGUAAAUUUUAACUUAGUUAAAUGUAUAAAGUUUUAUCUUCAUAGCCUCUGGAUUUCUUUUUUUCUUUCUUCCCCUGAGAUAGACCUUCCCUAUUACAUGAUAAUUUUUAAAAUUCUCCAAUUUUUUUCUAGUACAUUUAUAGUUUCUUUCCAUUUUGUAUUUGUUUUGCUGCUGGGACUCUGGACACUGUUCAUUGCCCUACUCAUCUCUUCCUUAUGUAUUUGGUUUGCUAUGUUUAUCAUAUUCUUUUUUUUUUUUUUUUUUUUUGAGUCAGUCUCGCUCUGUCGCCCAGGCCAGAAUGCAGGAGCACAAUCUCUGCUCACUGUAGCCUCAACCUCCUGGGCUCAAGUAUUUCCCCUACCUCGCCUUCCUGAGUAGCUGGGACUACAGGCUCACACCUCUACACACACUCGACUACUUUUUGUAUUUUUAGUGGAGACAGGGUUUCACUAUGACGCCCAGCCUGGUCUCAAACUCCUGGGCUCAAGGGAUCCGCCCGCCUUGGCUUCCCAAAAUGCUGGGAUUACAGGUGUGAGAAACUGUGUCUGGCUGUUUAUCAUAUUCUUAAUUCCUGAUUGUAAGUUUAUUUCUGGACUUAUUUUCUCCCCUUGAGUCGUCUGUGUGUUCAUGUGCCAGCCCCACUGUUUGCAUUUCUGUAGCCUUGCAAAUGGUAUCUUUAUCUUAGACUUUUUAGUAUCUGGAGUGCCAGUGUCCCUCUCAAUGCUCUGCUUUUCCAGGAAUAUCUUGGUUAUUUCUUACAUGUUUGUUUUUCCCAGAGGGCUUUAGAAACAGCAUGCCAAUUCUAGUAUCUGCUUCCUCCCCCCGUCCUCCAAAAGCAUUUGUGUUUUUACUGAGAAGAUGCUACAUUUAUACAUUAAAGACAUUCGACAGGAAACACAAAAAUGCAGAUACAUAAGCAGGCCCCAGGUAUUUUUCAUAGUACUUAUUUGUCAGGUCCUGUCUCACAUAUAAAAGCACACAGGGCACUUGCCACCUUCUCUUCCGCAAGGUGCAUCAGUGUGGUGACCAUGACAGGAACAGAAAAGGGGAAGGAAGCUGAGAUCCUGGCAGAAUAAAAUGUGGCAUGGAAUUAAAUAGUUAAUAUGUAAAUAUAAUGAAAUUAAUAGCAUUUAUCGACCAGUUAAGCACUUUAGUCCAUUAUCUCAGUUCAUAUGCACAACUUCUAUGAGGCAGGUGCUACUAAUAUUAUCCUGAUUCAUCAAUAAAAAUGAAGCUCAGAAAGAUUAAGUCACUUUCACUCAACUAAUCAUCAUCAGAGCUGGAAUUUGAUCCAGUUGUAGACUCUGCACUCUCAACCUCCAAGCUGAGCUGAGCUGCUAAGUAAAGUUAAACUGCUUCUGGGAGUCUGGGGAGAGAGAAAAAAGAGAAAUAUGUUUGCUGAAUCAAUUGCUGCCGGCCAAGGGCCAGGCCUUUGCACCUGGCAUCACAGCUGACUGAAGCUGCAGAAUCCGCAGGAAUGCAGAGCCUGGGGCUCCUGCUGUGUGGGACACAGAAUGGGAAGAUGAAGUCACCACCCCAGUGUGUCCCAGGUCUUUGUCAGAGGACGAAAUGCUGACAUUUCAGGAGGGAGGAAGACCCUUGCUGCUAUCAUGGCCCUUAAUCCUGAGGUUAGGGAGCCAAGGCGGGGGUCCUGCAGGGGUCUGAGAAUAUCCAUCCCAACCAUGUCCGCCCACCCUGCUCAGGAAGCCGCCUGCAGGGAGAACACAAAGUUCCACUGGGCUCGGGGCAGUGCCGGAGCUCCCUGCCCCCGGCCUCCUGGGAAGCACCAGCUCGCAGAGGGACCAGCUCAUGCUGGGAUCAGUGCCCGCUCUGAUACCUGGAAGUCCCUGGCAGCUUGGGGGCUUACUUCUUGCUGGGGUGUGGUCUCCUGGUCAGAAGCUCCAGUCCUGCUGGGGAAGCCAGCUGAAGGCACUCGGCUCCCCUCAGGGCCUCCCAGGCUCCUUUCCCGAGGGUCUGGGUUGAUAACUAAGUUUGGAAAUCCCUUGAGGGGUUGAGGUUCUAGGGCAGUGGUUUCAAUGGUAGGGGUGUUUCCCUAGGGAACAUUUCAAAAUGGCUGGAGACAUUUAUAGUUGUCAUGGCCAGGAGCAGGGAGAGGGGUUCUGCUAGCAUCUGGUGGGUAAAGGGAGGGGGUGCUGCUAAGCAUCAUAGGAUGCAAAGAACAGUGCCCUCCCUUGCUCCCCCUCCCCCACAAAAAAACCCAAAGAAUUAUCUAGCCCAAAUUGUCAACAGUGUCAGGGCUUGGACAUCCUGUCUUUGAGGGCUUCAGUUAGCACCGAAACCCUUGGGAGCUGGUUUAAAAUGUGGAGUCUAGAAUCCCCUAAACCCAUAGGGUGCAGUGUGAGACCCAGGAACCUGUACUUUCAAGCAUUCCAGAUUAUUCUGUUAUAGGUAGACCAUACUCCACAUUGACAAGUAGCACUGCAGGCUGCACCCGGCGCAUGAUUCCCAAACUCUGGCCCUGUGUGGGUCUGCCUGUGGCAGAGGCAGCUGGAGAGCUGGCUAAAGCCCCAGCCUCCUUCAUCCCUGGAGCUUCUCUUGCAAGAGACAUGGCUUCCAUCCCAGAAUUCCAUGGGUUGUUUUGUUUGGCUUAAGUGAUUCCUUUUUUUUUUAAGUUGACAAAAAUUGCAUACAUGUAGGUAUAUACCAUGUUUGGAAAUGUGUAUACAUUGUGAAAUGGCUAAAUUGAGCUAAUAACAAAUGCAUUACCUCACUUUUCAUUUUGUGAAAUCUACUCUCAUCAAUUUCCAGCAUACAACACACUGUUGAGCACUUUAUCACCAUGGGCUGCACACUAGGUCUCUUGGACUUAUUCCUCUUGUCUAACUGAAAUUCUCUAUCUUUUGACCAAUAUUUCCCCAAUGAGAGAUUCGUAUUUAGAUUUGCUAACCCAGUAUGUGGCCUAAAUCCACACAGGACUCUGGUCAUCUGCCCUCAUCUUCCAGUGCUACAAGUCAAGCAAAACUGUGGUGCCUGCAAGCUGAUUUCAUUCCCGGAAGCCCAAAGCUUUACCAGCAGGUCACUUCCAGCACACAGAUAAGGAGAUUAGCCACGCCUCUCACUUCACCUCCAGCUCCUCACUGUUCCAGAAUUACCAACUAUCCUAUUUCUGUUCAAAGCAGCCAAAAUUAACUGACGGCUGCUCUUUGAGGGCUUCUGCAGGGAGCGUGGACCCUAUGGCCAGCAGGGGCAGCACCUCCCUCCCUCCCUCCACUAAAAACCUCUGGCGUCCCUGUUACAGAAUGGAAUGUGCUAGAUCUCUCAGGGAUGUUGAGGUACGAAACAGUUCGGGAAGACAGAACCAGAAGACGGUUCGGGAAGCCUGGGAUCAGAGUGGAGAACGACAGAGCUCUUCGGCAUGGUCCUUUGGUUUCCGAAGCAGUGCCUGGCACCUCAUGAUGGCUCAAUGCUCGUCAUUCAUUGCCACUAUGAAAUAUUCCUGAAGGGCGUUUCCUCCAGGCUGCGGUAUUGUCUGGAGAAUUAUCGUGGCUCCCUGCUCAAGCCUAUGACUCUAGGGCCACCAUCUCUGACCUUGGCACCAUCCACCCCCAGCAAUGCGCAGAUUGGACGAGGGCUCGCUAGAGACUUCAUCCUGCACGCAGGCGCUGCCCUCUGUUGGCCAUACUCUUUGUGUGCAGCUUAACUUUUCUUGGUUACCUUUACUUUUUUUUCUCAGUGGCUUUGUCCUCUGUCUCAGCGUGGCCUCCAAGGCCACUUCCUGCUCUGCCACUUGGUAUGGUUCAGGGCUGCCCUGCUCUCCGUCACGGCCCAUUUUUAGAGCUUUUUUGCAUCGUGUAGGUUCGUGAGCAUCUGUGUCAGAGGCUGAUAUUUACUGAUGUGCCUCCCACAUUGGGGAUGGUGUUGGGGGCACGGGUGGGGUUUGAAACUGAUAACUCUAACAGAAGUUGGGUACAUAGUGACUGCGUCCAAACCCCUGCACCAAGAGACUGGACCACCCUAACAUGGCUUCUGGCAGCCCAAAGUGGCAUCCCUGGGACCACCUGGCCACCCUUUGAGUUCCUGUCUGAAAAAGCUCAAGGCCGUCAAAAUCAUUUAGUGUUUGUUCCUACCAACACCUGACAACAGGCCUCUGACCACCCCCUCACUUUCUUAGAGCAUUUACGUUAAAAACACUUAAGAGUCGUACCGCCUUCCCUCCUCCCUUUGAGAUGUACAUGCGUGCGUGUCCAGGAGUGUCUUUCUCAAGAGCCUGAGAGCCAGUCCUUUGAAAUGGCAUCAUCAGGAAGGAUGGGGCCUGUCUCCCAGGCUCUGGGGGAGGCCAGAACCUAACUUCCAUCACUGCCAGCUGGCACACACAGCUGGCCCGGCCACAAUAACACAGACAGCCCUUUGUAAUUUUUCACUCCCAUGAUUCCUGAGCCCUGGAAUGCCCUUUCCCGACUCCUACGUUCUCCCAUUAAACUGUCCAGUCCCCCUGCACAGAUCUGAAUGGAGCUCAGCUUCUCCCCUGUCAGUGGUUAAUGAAUAAGAUCUGUUUUCGUAGCUUUAACUAAGGUCCAGCUUAGUUUAUCUUUGACAGACCUACUUACCCUGCAGGUUCCCACCUCGGGCCUGGAGGGAAAGCCUCUGGGAGGAACACGGUCCUCACCAAAGGGUGGGAGACCAGAUCGUGCCAGGGAGUGGAGUGGACAUGAGCUCUGGGACCCUCUCCUCUCUCCCGGAAUGGCUGCACAGGAAGGAAGGAUGGAAGACGUGAGAAAGGCCACCCUGCCUGGGAAGGAGCUACCAGCCCUCAGCAGUCCAGAGGCUGCCCAGAGAGCAGGGAGCAGCUCUCCAGGACUCCACCUCCCAGGCCCAGAGGAUGCCACCCAGGGGGCUCAGUGAGAAUUCAGCCACAACCACACACAUCCCGGGAGAGUGUCUAAAGAUGCCACCAAUCCAAUAUCACAGAAGGCAAGAACCCAAAGAGCAGAAGCCGAGACAAGGAAGUAGCCAUUUUGGAUACAUGCCCCCCACCCCAAUCCUGGGCCAACGUGGAUCUUCAGCAUCCUGAACCUGAAGCCCCCAUGGUGGGCCUGUGGCGGGCUGGGUGUGGCUUCAGAGAUGCUGGGCCAAAGCAGAUCUUCAGCAUCCUGAACCUGAGGCCCCCAUGGUGGGCCUGUGGCAGGCUGGGUGUGGCUUCAGAGGUGCAGCGGCAGGAACUGGCAGAGUGGUUCCCCCAGGCCCAGGGCUGACCCACAGCGACAUGGGAAAAUGGGCCCAGUAGGUCCCUCCUUGUUUAGCUCCCUUUGGUCUUUCCAGGUCCAGCUUCACUGGGUCCACGGGGUCCCCAUCCUGAGGUCACUGUGUUUCUCACCCCCCACCUGCCCACUCGCUCCCAGCCCACUGCAGUCUGACUUUACUGCCCAUCACCAAAGAUGCCAGCUGACCUUGACUUCUUGGGGGUAGAGGACAAUGGGGGUCUGUGUUACCUCAACCACUCUAUCCUGUUGAACCUCUCAUCCUCCUGAGUGACACUCACCUGGUUGUCUUCCGGCUACCUGCAACCUCCCGGCAUCCUCCACAGGCCACCUUCACCCACCCACCCCGUGAACUCACACUCCUUGGGGUUCUCUUCUGGGUUUAUCUCACUCUGAACCCCCUGUGCAACCUGCACCCCUCAGGGAUCACCGGUUAUUUAUGCCGAUGGCUCCAACUCUGCCUCCUGCAGCCUCAUCUUCCUCCUGACCAUCCGCCCCCCCACCCAGCCAGCCACUACCUACACUUCCACCGGGUGCCCUGGACACACACGACUCACCAGGAAACAAAGGAACACCUCAGCUCCCACAGCCACUCUCAGACCUGCCCCUGCUGCACUCCCCACCACGGGCAGCCUCGGUCUCUAUGGGUCACAGCCAAGCAGCUCCCCCCUCGCUUCUCUGUCCUCACCACUUCCACCAGGGGCCCUAAUAAAGAUGUCAAACCAGCCUGCCGUCCACUGUGCAGCUUGUAGAGAUAAUGCUAGAAAUCCAGUUGGCCAUGUCACGGCCCUGCUUUAAAUCCCUUUCACGGCUCCCAUGGCCCUUGGGAUCCAUCCAAGCUCCUCAGCUGGCUUUCCGCCCUCAGUGCUCUGGUGCCUCCAUUGUGCGUCUUCCAGUCCCGCCCACCCUCCUGUCCCUCCAGGGAAGUUCUUUCAGCUCUGCCCUGGGCUACAGGCUGGGCUGGAGGGCUGGGCUCCCUCUGCCCACUUCCCCACUGGACCUGCAGCGAGACGUGCUGGCAGAUCCCAGCCCUAGGCUAUUUCAUGAAGGAGGCUUUGAAGCCUCUGGCGACCUGCUUCACUGCAGGAGUCCUGCACUGUGUCCUCUGGGGCCCAGACGAGUGGUGCUCAAAGCUGCACUUGAACAAGUCCUCGAUCUUCCUGCCAGGCCUGGUUCUCCGCUGAAUCCAGGCAGUCAGCAGGGGGCCGGAUUUUCCUCCAGAUCUCAGGAAAGUAGUCCUGGAUAUCUGUGUUCAUAACUGCAGCUCCCAGAAUCCUUCCCUGCUCCCCUCCCCAGACCCACCCACUGGAGAAACAAGACUCAGGUGGGCGGGGCAGGGGACCUGCACACAGGCAGAGGCCAGGGCUUUGUCACCAAACAGUAAUCUUUUCAUCACCAUUAUUUAUUAUAUAUGAACCAGGUUUUCAGCACAAGUCACACUCAACACCCUUACCCAACAGGAGGGGCGACGGAGGCUCAGAGAGGGAGUGUAGGGGGAGGAUGUCAAUGGGAGACCCCAGCCUGAGCCCUGAGCAGCUGGCCAGCCAGGAACUGGCAUGUGAGUGAGAGGCAUCCUAUUCUCCUGCUGCUCCAAAGACAAUGCCCGCUGAACAGGAUGGCAGGCCACAUCAGCAGUCCAUACAGAAGUGAGGCUGUCAUUUCUUCCCCUGGAGCACCAGUGAGGACAGGCCCCAGCUGGGAGCCAGGCAAGGUGGGUGAGCUCUGUGCUAACCACACUGGGAGCUCGGGUAAGCAUGAGGGCAAGGCUGGAGAGGUCCAGGACCCCUGCGUGUUGCUUCCCACUCCUGCCAGGCUGGCACACCCCCGUUCUUCACCAUCCCUAGCACAGAGCCCAGGGCCAGGGGGCAGAGGGCAGGGCUGGCUCAGGAGCAGGGCUGGCCCGUCCCAUAGCGCCACUCACAUUGCCCCUUCCCCUCUCUCAUCCCAGCUCUGGUCACUUAGAUGCUGCCAUGAGAGGCUCUGAAAUCCACCCCCACUGCAGCCAAAGGCCCAAGUCAGAGCCAAACCUGCACUGUGCUCGGACUGACAGGCUGGGGUCAGGAGAGGGAAGACAUCCACUGAGGGAGGUCCAGGUGGCAGGAGGCAGAACAGGAUACUCUGAGGAGACACAGGAAAGGGUGCCAACAUCUAGGACUGAGGCCAUCUGGACCCACAUGACUAUGUUGCUUUUUGUGUGUGAAUGUUUCUCUGCUUCAACAUUUUCAGAAAUUUCACAUCUAGACGUGUCAGAAAAUUAACAAUUCCAUGCCAGAGAAAAGGCCUUGCCUAUAACCCAGUAGAGGCCCCCCAGUUCCCAGCAGGAUGGUGGCAGAGCUGCUGACUGGGCACCGACUCCCCCGCCUGGGCCGGAGCACCCUCUCCAUGAGGACACGUGUCCUCCUCAGGAUGGGCUGAGUCCUGGCAUCUGCCCCGUCUGUAAAGGGAAAGACCCCACCCAUACCAGCUCCCCAGCAGCAUCUCCUUGGGAAAGAGGGCAAACGCCAGAGCAGUGCGGGUAUUGGAGCAGGACAUCCCCUCGGCCGCUGCUGUGCCCAGGGCUCCCCAGGGCCCGGGCUGGCUGGGAAGACUGGGAAGACUUCCAGGAACCAGGCAGGCCCUGCGGGUCCGGGUCUCUGGGUGCCAGCAGGAGGGAGCUGGUGACCAGACAUAGUUGUGUGGGGGAGGGUCCGGACGAAGGGGUUGUCAGGGACAGUGGGGCCACAGUCAUUCCGAGAGCUGGGCACCUGAAAAGCACAUCACAUGGAAGGGUCCCGGCCUUGCAGUGGAGACUCCACUGCCCCCAACCCUCCCUGGAAAGCCCCCUCACCCCUGCCCAGAUAGUCCUCAGCUUACCCUUUCCCUCCCUCCGUCCAGGUUAGGGCCCAGGUUAGGGUCUUGCCUUGGGGUGAAGCGCUGUGAGGAUGGGGGAGGGGGGUGCUGGGAGCAUGGUUCCCAUUUCAUCCCUGGUGGCCAACACAGGCCAGGCAGGAAGGGAGUUGAUGUUCAGUCCCCUCCCCACCUUUUCUUUUCAUGAAAUAAAUAGAUGCCUGAAUCCCAACAAGAACUCUAACCACAGCCUUGUCUUUCCCCUCUUCCCCACCCACACCCCUCACCCACACGGUACCUGCCCCACCCCUCGCCCACAUGGUACCUGGGUCGGGGGCGGCAGGUCACUCCCACAGGAAGCGCACGUACCAGAUGGUCUCAUUCUUCAGCUGGGGCCCGAACAGGGGGUUCAGCUGCGCCAGGAUGGCGAUGAGCCAGCUGCCAGGGACAGCAAAGCAUGGUGAGCCUGGCACAGGAGGGUCCUCCCACACCCAGGGGAGGCCUCGGUCAUGUUAUUUUGGAUGCGGCCAACCCAGCAGAUGGCAGGGCCUGUGUUCCCAGGGUGAAGAAGGGCCCAGGGAGCCAUCCACACUCCGGCAGGCACAUGGGGUUGGUAUGGCACUUCUGGGUUUGGUUUUGGUUUCAUUUGAUGUUCGGUAGAUCUGCAGGAUCCCCGAGUUGGGGCUGAACCUGGGGUUAGGGAAGAGGGGAGGCAGCCUCAGGGGCGCUUUGGGAGCGACUCCCAGCUGUGCCCUCACACACCUCUGUCCAGGCUCCCCAGGCUCCAUGCACCAGGGAGCGAACAGGGCAGGCCUGGCGGGCAGCACGUCAGAAUCACCUCCUCUUAUGAGAGAAGGAACUACCCCAAGACGUGAGGAGCUGACGGGUCCUCACGUUCAGCUGAACAGGAGAGGGGCCUCCUGUUCAGGCUGCUGCCAGGCCAC
rnacentral:lncRNA from 1 species